CUGGGGGAGGGCAGAAUGUGGAGAUAGUGUUUAAUGGCUAUAGAGUUUCCAUUUGGGAUAAAGAGAAAGUUCUGGAAAUAAAUCUGAGGUGAUGGUUGCCCAAAAUUGUGAAUGGGCUUAAUGCCACUGAGUUGUACACUUAAAAAUGGUCAAGAUGGUAAAUUUUAUGUUAUGU